ensembl:lncRNA
ACCUCCAAUAUUAUAUAUUAACAUAAGACAUGUUUUUAGCCACUCUUAAUUUCUGAUAUAUCAGGAAAUGUGUUUUGUGUGUAUGUACUAAACCACUGAAAUACACCCACAAUAACAACACUAGCAGUGUCACUGGAUAUGGUCAAAACAUUGUACAUCCCUAAAAAAAUACCUGGUCAGAGCUACUCAUCUGUUGAAAAACUGGCCAGUGAUGAAUGAGGCUGAGGAUAGCUGACAAACGGUGCAUGACAACAGAUGGGCUACAGUCUGGACACCUACAUAAUGACCUAUAAGGCGGUUCCUCGGGUCCAGCUGAAGGCUAAGCUCAUGCAUCAGUUCAUGCCGCGCUGUGUCUCUGAGGGAGACUCAUUCACACAGAAAAAGCUACGCCCGCUCGGGCUUUCGCCCUCAACUCAUACUGACAGAACGCAGCAAGGUCACACUGCGGACACUCCAGGCACCACAUACAUUGUUGUGUGGAUGACGCAUCCAAGUGAUACACCUACACACACGUACAGUACAGUACCCAGUACUCAGGAGUCACAGCAGUGAAAGGGCUAAAAUUACUGUGAGCAAGAAAAACUCUGCUGGUUGUAUAAACUGCUUACUCUUUGCAAUCUUUAUAAUUCUGUCAAUUUCUGUGAAUUAUUUCAGCCGCUUUUCACUCUUUUUUGCACACAGUGACUUCUCCUUCUUCAGUCACUGUUGCCUCGUUACUUUGCUCUGUGCAGCUUUUCGAAUCACUGACCAUCAGUGAGCUUGUAGGAGGACAGGGACCCGUCUGACUUUGUCUGUGUGGUGAAGCAUAUGCCAUAUGUACACUGCCUACAUCAAAAGGGAGAGAGACCCCUGUCAUCCUUUGCUCCGAGGAGAGGAGGGCCAGUUGUACUCACAUGGACACCUGGCCAAGGACAGCGUAUGGCACCCCCGGGAUCUGAAACCAAGCUCACCUCUGCACUACAGAAGCAUUGCAUUAGCAACAAACUGUAAUGAACUUGGGUUUGAACAUCUCCUUCAGUCAUGAUGUCACAUUGCUCAGUGCUACCAGCAGUCUAUUUUCACGCCUUUCACCUGCUUCGUUUGAAAAGCAACAUUGCUUGUGAAUAUAUCUAUGACGAUGGGUGUGGUGCUCUGGAUGUAAAGGUGUGUUCAGGUAAAUUUCUUGGCAACAGAAAACACAGGUGCGCCCUGACUGAUUUAUCCUCUGAUGUUUACACACUGAAACUCCAGCUCACCUAUGGAUUGAUAAAAUAGGGCCCAGAAUCAGUAUUGGAUGGAACAUUUUGUUGCAGUCAUUGUUAAUUGUUGUUGUUUGUUCAGUAAUUUAUUCACUUGUUACAAAACUGUGGUAUUUAUUGGAUCUAUUCAUAGCAAACCAUUAUGCUAUGCAAACCAAGUUUGCUCAGUCUCAGGCUGUUUGAAGGGCAGGGGUGUAAACUACACAACAUGUGGCUUGUACACUUUAGGGGUUGUAGAUAAAACCUUCAUACAUUGAAAAUUAAUACUAAAAUCAUCCAGACUAUAAAAGGAACACAAUAAUCUAAUAAACUGUUAAAAGUGUCAAACA